GACGUAGGGCGCGAGCGUUGUCCGGAAUUAUUGGGCGUAAAGAGCUCGUAGGCGGCUUGUCACGUCGGAUGUGAAAGCCCGAGGCUUAACCUCGGGUCUGCAUUCGAUACGGGCUAGCUAGAGUGUGGUAGGGGGAGAUCGGAAUUCCUGGUGUAGCGGUGAAAUGCGCAGAUAUCAGGAGGAACACCGGUGGCGAAGGCGGAUCUCUGGGCCAUUACUGACGCUGAGGAGCGAAAGCGUGGGGAGCGAACAGG
rnacentral:rRNA from 1 species